GUUGUGGCUCAGUGGUAGAGCACUUGCCUUGCAUCUGUGAGGCACUGAGUUGGAUCCUCAGCACCGCACA
rnacentral:tRNA from 1 species